rnacentral:rRNA from 1 species
UCAUCUUCGGGGGUAGAGCACUGUUUCGGCUAGGGGGUCAUCCCGACUUACCAACCCGAUGCAAACUACGAAUACCGAAGAAUGUUAUCACGGGAGACACACGGCGGGUGCUAACGUCCGUCGUGAAGAGGGAAACAACCCAGACCGCCAGCUAAGGUCCCAAAGUCAUGGUUAAGUGGGAAACGAUGUGGGAAGGCACAGACAGCCAGGAUGUUGGCUUAGAAGCAGCCAUCAUUUAAAGAAAGCGUAAUAGCUCACUGGUCGAGUCGGCCUGCGCGGAAGAUGUAACGGGGCUAAACCAUGCACCGAAGCUGCGGCAGCGACACUAUGUGUUGUUGGGUAGGGGAGCGUUCUGUAAGCCUGCGAAGGUGACCUGUGAGGGUUGCUGGAGGUAUCAGAAGUGCGAAUGCUGACAUAAGUAACGAUAAAGCGGGUGAAAAGCCCGCUCGCCGGAAGACCAAGGGUUCCUGUCCAACGUUAAUCGGGGCAGGGUGAGUCGACCCCUAAGGCGAGGCCGAAAGGCGUAGUCGAUGGGAAACAGGUUAAUAUUCCUGUACUUGGUGUUACUGCGAAGGGGGGACGGAGAAGGCUAUGUUAGCCGGGCGACGGUUGUCCCGGUUUAAGCAUGUAGGCUGGUUGUCCAGGCAAAUCCGGAUAAUCAAGGCUGAGGUGUGAUGACGAGGCACUACGGUGCUGAAGUAACAAAUGCCCUGCUUCCAGGAAAAGCCUCUAAGCAUCAGGUAACAUCAAAUCGUACCCCAAACCGACACAGGUGGUCAGGUAGAGAAUACCAAGGCGCUUGAGAGAACUCGGGUGAAGGAACUAGGCAAAAUGGUGCCGUAACUUCGGGAGAAGGCACGCUGGUGUGUAGGUGAAGUCCCUGCGGAUGGAGCUGAGACCAGUCGAAGAUACCAGCUGGCUGCAACUGUUUAUUAAAAACACAGCACUGUGCAAACACGAAAGUGGACGUAUACGGUGUGACGCCUGCCCGGUGCCGGAAGGUUAAUUGAUGGGGUUAUCCGUAAGGAGAAGCUCUUGAUCGAAGCCCCGGUAAACGGCGGCCGUAACUAUAACGGUCCUAAGGUAGCGAAAUUCCUUGUCGGGUAAGUUCCGACCUGCACGAAUGGCGUAAUGAUGGCCAGGCUGUCUCCACCCGAGACUCAGUGAAAUUGAACUCGCUGUGAAGAUGCAGUGUACCCGCGGCAAGACGGAAAGACCCCGUGAACCUUUACUAUAGCUUGACACUGAACAUUGAGCCUUGAUGUGUAGGAUAGGUGGGAGGCUUUGAAGCGUGGACGCCAGUCUGCGUGGAGCCAACCUUGAAAUACCACCCUUUAAUGUUUGAUGUUCUAACGUUGGCCCCUUACCGGGGUUGCGGACAGUGUCUGGUGGGUAGUUUGACUGGGGCGGUCUCCUCCCAAAGCGUAACGGAGGAGCACGAAGGUUAGCUAAUCCUGGUCGGACAUCAGGAGGUUAGUGCAAUGGCAUAAGCUAGCUUGACUGCGAGCGUGACGGCGCGAGCAGGUGCGAAAGCAGGUCAUAGUGAUCCGGUGGUUCUGAAUGGAAGGGCCAUCGCUCAACGGAUAAAAGGUACUCCGGGGAUAACAGGCUGAUACCGCCCAAGAGUUCAUAUCGACGGCGGUGUUUGGCACCUCGAUGUCGGCUCAUCACAUCCUGGGGCUGAAGUAGGUCCCAAGGGUAUGGCUGUUCGCCAUUUAAAGUGGUACGCGAGCUGGGUUUAGAACGUCGUGAGACAGUUCGGUCCCUAUCUGCCGUGGGCGCUGGAGAAUUGAGGGGGGCUGCUCCUAGUACGAGAGGACCGGAGUGGACGCAUCACUGGUGUUCGGGUUGUCAUGCCAAUGGCACUGCCCGGUAGCUAAAUGCGGAAGAGAUAAGUGCUGAAAGCAUCUAAGCACGAAACUUGCCCCGAGAUGAGUUCUCCCUGAGACUUUAAGUCUCCUGAAGGAACGUU